CAAAUCUCCCUGGAGAACUGAUUGGCGCCCAGGAUCCUGACUUCGGAUGUACAAGAGCUGAACCCACUGAAGUUAAUUGAAGUCCCUUUCUUAUAAGUAGCUCUACAGAAGUAAUAUGAGUCACAGCUGCUUAAAGAAGAGUGAAAAAACAACAAGGCAGGUUGCAUGCUGCACUACACCAAUGUACAGUGUUUGAAGAUUUUUCCAUCAGAGCUAACUACGGGUUGACUCAGGUAAGAAGGAAUUUGGUUUUAGGGAAAUAGAGAAAGUAUCUAUUUGUAAAAAUAAAUCUGUGCACAGA
rnacentral:lncRNA from 1 species